GCAAGUCAGCCCUGUGGACAAACA
rnacentral:miRNA from 1 species